rnacentral:rRNA from 1 species
AACGAACGCUGGCGGCAUGCCUAACACAUGCAAGUCGAACGAGACCUUCGGGUCUAGUGGCGCACGGGUGCGUAACGCGUGGGAACCUGCCCUUAGGUUCGGAAUAACUCCCCGAAAGGGGUGCUAAUACCGGAUAAUGUCUUCGGACCAUAGAUUUAUCGCCUUUGGAUGGGCCCGCGUUGGAUUAGCUAGUUGGUAGGGUAAAAGCCUACCAAGGCGACGAUCCAUAGCUGGUCUGAGAGGAUGAUCAGCCACACUGGGACUGAGACACGGCCCAGACUCCUACGGGAGGCAGCAGUGGGGAAUAUUGGACAAUGGGCGAAAGCCUGAUCCAGCAAUGCCGCGUGAGUGAUGAAGGCCUUAGGGUUGUAAAGCUCUUUUACCCGGGAUGAUAAUGACAGUACCGGGAGAAUAAGCUCCGGCUAACUCC